CAGCAGCCGCGGGAAUACGUAGGUGGCAAGCGCUGUCCGGAAUUAUUGGGCGUAAAGCGCGCGCAGGCGGAUCGGUCAGUCUGUCUUAAAAGUUCGGGGCUUAACCCCGUGAUGGGAUGGAAACUGCCAAUCUAGAGUAUCGGAGAGGAAAGUGGAAUUCCUAGUGUAGCGGUGAAAUGCGUAGAUACUAGGAAGAACACCAGUGGCGAAGGCGACUUUCUGGACGAAAACUGACGCUGAGGCGCGAAAGCCAGGGAAGCGAACGGGAUUAGAUACCCGCGUAGUCCCUGUCUCUUAUACA
rnacentral:rRNA from 1 species